rnacentral:rRNA from 1 species
AUUACCGCGGCUGCUGGCACGUAGUUAGCCGGAGCUUAUAAAUGGUACCGUCAUUUAUUCUUCCCAUUCUUUCGAAGUUUACAUACCGAAAUACUUCAUCCUUCACGCGGCGUUGCUGGGUCAGGCUUUCGCCCAUUGUCCAAAAUUCCCGACUGCUGCCUCCCGUAGGAGU